UGGGGGAUAUUGCACAAUGGGCGAAAGCCUGAUGCAGCGGCGCCGCGUGGGGGAUGAAGGCCUUCGGGUUGUAAACUUCUUUUGCUCUGAACAAGGCAUGCCUUUGGGGUGUGUUGAGUGUAGGGGUUGAUUAGCGCCGGCUAACUACGUGCCAGCAGCCGCGGUAAUACGUAGGGCGCGAGCGUUGUCCGGAAUUAUUGGGCGUAAAGGGCUUGUAGGUGGCUGGUUGCGUCUGUCGUGAAAGCUCAUGGCUUAACUGUGGGUUUGCGGUGGGUACGGGCUGGCUUGAGUGCAGUAGGGGAGGCUGGAAUUCCUGGUGUAGCGGUGGAAUGCGCAGAUAUCAGGAGGAAUACCGGUGGCGAAGGCGGGUCUCUGGGCUGUUACUGACGCUGAGGAGCGAAAGCGUGGGGAGCGAACAGG
rnacentral:rRNA from 1 species